AUGAGUCCCGCAGCAACAGCCCCGCUCGUCCCGGUGCCGGGACCUGCUCACGGAGCGCGGCGGAGGGCUGCCCCGGUGCCCGCAUGUCCCUUCCUGCCCCUGUGUCCAUCAUCCCCGCGGAGCCAUCAGCAGCCCUGCGAGGCUGCUCUGAGGUCCAUGGGGACCCGGGCCCGGUGGCACGGCCCCCCCGGACCCACAGCRCCCUCCCCUCGCCCAAAGGGGACCCGGCCCAGCUCCGGCAGCUCCUGUGCUGCCCCAGCCSCCCGAGGCCUCUCCACUGGUCCCCCUUCCCUGGCGAGCCGGUGCGGGCUGGGACCCCGGCGUGGGCUGGGACCCCGGCGUGGGUGCCAGCACAGCGCGGGCACGGUGUCCCGUGGGAGGACGGGCGCUGGCCGUGGCAGGCGGCCACCCCCGGCGAGGCUCGGGGCGCCCCAGCUGUUGCCAGCCCCGUGCCCCGGCUGGGGAGCGCGGCCAAGGCGCCAGCGAGGCGUGAUGGCGCGGCGAGGGCGGCGGGGGGGACGACGGGGUCGGCGCUUUCGGGAGACCAUCUGGGGUCCGGGCCGCAGCGGCCACGUGAACGGCGCACAUGAGUGGGGUGAGCCCAGCCCUGCCGGCCCCCCCGCCCCGCUCACCGGCACCCCAGCUCCGGGGGUCCCUGCACCUCUCGCCAACCCCUCCCAGCUGCACCGGGCAGCCCACGGCUCGGGAUGCUCCCACGGGAUGGCAGCACCCAACCUUGCACCCAUGAGGCACGCGCCAGCCCGGAGGCACCCCAUGCCAGCAGCACCAGGCGCAGCGCCAGCCCCGGGAUGCGGUGUCCUCCCGGGCACAGCCCCCCUCCCCGACACCCCCAAGGCGCCCAYGUGCCGCCCCUCCGGGCCCGGGAACGCCGCUCCGCGCCCCCCGCUCGGCUGCGCCGCAGUGCCCAGGCCGCCCAUGUGCCGCCGCCAGACGUCCUACCCGAGCCGUGCUGUCCCCAGCGCCGCAGGCAGCUGCCAGUUCCUCGCGGGGGCUGCCGCAGGCGGGUGCCGGAGCCGCACGCAGCUCGCGAGGGCGCUGCAGGAGCGGCCGUGGCCCCGUCCCAGGGAUGCUGGGCCCCGGGCCAGCCCRCUGGAGCGCAGCGCUGCUCCCCAGCCGGCUGGCACGGGGCAAUGCCACCCCCCGGGGACAUGCCGCUGGAAGCGGAGGCCCCCCUCGGCGGGACCUCUCCUGGCUCCCCGGCCCUGGGGCUGCACCAGCCAGGCGGGGGCUCUGCGAGCACUGGGGACRCGUGCGGGUUGCCUGCACCCUGCGCACCCUGCCACCCCAUCCCCGCCGCGGGGGUGCCCGGGGCAGGGCCGGCGCCCCGGGGAUGCCGCCGGUUCCUGCACCCGCCAGGGCCGCCUUUCCCCRGCUCCAUUCUCACGGCGCGGACACGAUUCUCCCGGGGCGUUCAGGCAGAAAAUCCCCCGCUGGCCCCCCCAUUGCCGCCCCUUGUUAUUCCGAGGGCUGCCGCAGCCAAGAGCCGCUUCCGCAGCUCCGCGCACGCUGCUGGCCCCCUCCCGCCCGGGCCGCCUUGGCCGGCGGCACAACACCGCUGGAGAUGUCUGGGACAGGCAGGGCCCCCCCAGCCCUCGGCUCCUGGGAGCACGGUGCCCCGGCACCAACGCCAGCCCGGGAUGGGAUGGGGCAACGGCGGGAGCCCACCUGAGCCAGGCGCCCUGCAGCGCCCACCACCCCGGCSUCUUGGCCGAACGCUGCCCGGCUGGGCCCGGCCAUGCCAGCAAAGCAGCCCUGGGAGUCAGGAGCUGCUGGCAGGGCUGGAGUCGGAACAAAGCGCCCCUGACAAGGACAAAACAAGAUGUCCUUAAAGGACAGGGAGGGAGAGGCCAUCAGACCCUCCCUGCUCCCCCCGGGGACCCCCUGCCCGGCCACCCAGGGACCGCACCRACCCCUGGGGCUGCCAUGCACACCAGCACCCCAUUGAGCACCCGCUGUCACAGCCUCUGCAGUGUCCCGGGGGGCACCGGGCCYCACUCCCGCCUGCGAUUUUGGGGUGAGCACACACAGAUUGAUGUGGGCAUCCACCCGCACACAACCGCAUCCCCCCAGGCUCCCCGCAGGCAGCGGAGCCCUGCUGCAAACCGCAGAGCCUGCGCGAGCAGGACGCACAGACCUCGUCACCCCGGGACCAACGGGAAGGCACAGGCCCCAACGCACAGGUGGGGAAACUGA
ensembl:lncRNA